CUUAAAUUGCGUAUCAAUAAUAGAGACCUAGUAUACGCGUAGACUCAUGCGGUAGUGACCCCCCUUCACAGGGCGCGUGUCGCACGUAUGUUAUACGCACAGGUCUCCGAUAGCAACGAACGUGACCGUACUCUAUUGUUGCAGCGACAAUACCUUUCAACGGGUAUUACCGCUGCUUAGCAAGAUUCGUCUUGCAUUAAACUAUAGAGACCGCUGUUUCUUCUUUAAACCAGAGGAAGGAUACGGCAAUAACAGGUCUGUGAUGCCCUCAGAUGUUCCGGGCUGCACACGUGCUACAAUGAUCAUUGCACUGUGCAUCUAACCCAAUGUGCGCGGACGCCGCCGUGCGUAUAUACUUUAUUGUGUAUGCGUAUCGUGCGUGCGACCGCGCCGAACCUGCUUCGAAAGUAAACAUUUCCAGCGGGUAAUCCAUUAGAAGUAAUGACUCGCAUAGACCAUGGCACACUAUAUGUACCCGCGGGUUCUACCCGGCUCGCCUUUGUGUGAGUGCAGUGCGUAGCUCGUUGUUUGGUACGUGCCACUCCGUAUUAAUUCAUACGUGGGGAUAGAUCAUUGUUUAAUUGUUGGUCUCGGUCUUAACUAGGAAUGCCUUGUACGGGUCUUUGGUUCAACAUACCACCCGGAAUACGUCCCUGCCCUUUGUACACACCGCCCGUCGCUCUUACCGAUGGAUUAUACUAUGAAUCUAUAGGACUGCCAAAGUUGCUCUUCGCGGCGCGCUUAGUGGAAAUAUAUAGAAUAGUGGAUC
rnacentral:rRNA from 1 species